rnacentral:rRNA from 1 species
CCUACGGGAGGCAGCAGUGGGGAAUUUUGGACAAUGGGCGCAAGCCUGAUCCAGCAAUGCCGCGUGAGUGAAGAAGGCCUUCGGGUUGUAAAGCUCUUUUGUCAGGGAAGAAACGGUGGAGGUUAAUACCUUCUGCUAAUGACGGUACCUGAAGAAUAAGCACCGGCUAACUACGUGCCAGCAGCCGCGGUAAUACGUAGGGUGCAAGCGUUAAUCGGAAUUACUGGGCGUAAAGCGUGCGCAGGCGGUUGUGCAAGACAGAUGUGAAAUCCCCGGGCUCAACCUGGGAAUUGCAUUUGUGACUGUACGGCUAGAGUGUGUCAGAGGGGGGUAGAAUUCCACGUGUAGCAGUGAAAUGCGUAGAGAUGUGGAGGAAUACCGAUGGCGAAGGCAGCCCCCUGGGAUAACACUGACGCUCAUGCACGAAAGCGUGGGGAGCAAACAGGAUUAGAUACCCUGGUAGUCCACGCCCUAAACGAUGUCUACUAGUUGUCGGGUCUUAUUGACUUGGUAACGCAGCUAACGCGUGAAGUAGACCGCCUGGGGAGUACGGGUCGCGAAGAUUAAAACUCAAAAGGAUUGACGG